rnacentral:RNase_P_RNA from 1 species
GGAGGUGGCUGGAAGGUCGCCGGUGAACACUUGGUUCGCCAAGAACACCGUUCACGGGAGGAAAGUCCGGGCUCCAUAGGACAGGGAGGUCGUUAACGACGACCCGGGGUGACUCGAGGGAAAGCGCCGCAGAAAAGACACCGCCGAUGGGGGGAGCCCGCAGGGCUCCGUCACAGGUAAGGGUGAAAACGUGGGGUAAGAGCCCACGCGCGACAGCCGGGUGACCGGCGGCGGGGCAAGCCCCUCCCGGAGCAAGCUUGAAUAGGGAUAUCGUUUAGAGCGGUCCGCUCAAUCGCCAAGACUUCGGCUUCGGCCGGAAUCGCGGCGCGGUGUCCGGGUGAGAGUGCUUGAGCCCGUCAGCAAUGGCGGGCCUAGAGGAAUGAUCUUCGCCUUCGCUGGGGCAACCCGGCGUCGGAACAGAACCCGGCUUAUAGGCCACUUGCAACC